CCUACGGGAGGCAGCAGUGAGGAAUAUUGGUCAAUGGACGAGAGUCUGAACCAGCCAAGUAGCGUGAAGGAUGACUGCCCUAUGGGUUGUAAACUUCUUUUAUAAGCGAGAAAUAUGAUGGUAACUUAUGAAUCUGUAUCGGCUAUCUACGUGCCAGCAGCCGCGGUCAUACGUAGGAGCCGAGCAUUAUCCGGGGUGACUGGGUGUAAAAAGUUGCGUAGGUUGCAUAAUAAGUGGCUAGUGAAAACUGGUGGCUCAACCAUUCAUAUUAUUGGCGAAACUGUUAAGCUCGAGACCGUUAGGGGUGACUGGAAUUUCUAGUGUAGGAGUGAAAUCCGUAGAUAUUAGAAGGAACACCGAUAGCGAAGGCAGGUUACUGGGACGGGUCUGACACUAAGGCACGAAAGCGUAGGGAGCAAACGGGAUUAGAUACCCGAGUAGUC
rnacentral:rRNA from 1 species